rnacentral:rRNA from 1 species
ACGCUAGCGGGAGGCCUAACACAUGCGUGCCGAGCGGUAGAAGAUCUUCGGAUCUUUGAGAGCGGCGUACGGGUGCGGAACACGUGUGCAACCUGCCUUUAUCAGGGAGAUAGCCUUUCGAAAGGAAGAUUAAUAUCCCAUAAUAUUUUGAGUGGCAUCACUUAAAAUUGAAAGCUCCGGCGGAUAGAGAUGGGCACGCGCAAGAUUAGAUAGUUGGCGGGGUAACGGCCCACCAAGUCAAUGAUCUUUAGGGGGCCUGAGAGGGUGAUCCCCCACACUGGUACUGAGACACGGACCAGACUCCUGCGGGAGGCAGCAGUGAGGAAUAUUGGACAAUGGGUGAGAGCCUGAUCCAGCCAUCCCGCGUGAAGGACGACGGCCCUAUGGGUUGUAAACUUCUUUUGUAUAGGGAUAAACCUACCCUCGUGAGGGUAGCUGAAGGUACUAUACGAAUAAGCACCGGCUAACUCCGUGCCAGCAGCCGCGGUAAUACGGAGGGUGCAAGCGUUAUCCGGAUUUAUUGGGUUUAAAGGGUCCGUAGGCGGACUCGUAAGUCAGUGGUGAAAUCUCAUAGCUUAACUAUGAAACUGCCAUUGAUACUGCGGUCUUGAGUAAGGUAGAGGUAGCUGGAAUAAGUAGUGUAGCGGUGAAAUGCAUAGAUAUUACUUAGAACACCAAUUGCGAAGGCAGGUUACCAUGUCUUAACUGACGCUGAUGGACGAAAGCGUGGGGAGCGAAAC